rnacentral:tRNA from 1 species
AUCUGGCUAGCUCAGUUGGUAGAGUGUGUGACUCUUGAUCUCAGGGUUGUGAGUUGAAGUCUCAUGCUGGGUA